rnacentral:rRNA from 1 species
UGACGAGUGGCGGACGGGUGAGUAAUGUCUGGGGAUCUGCCCGAUGGAGGGGGAUAACCACUGGAAACGGUGGCUAAUACCGCAUAACGUCGCRAGACCAAAGUGGGGGACCUUCGGGCCUCACACCAUCGGAUGAACCCAGAUGGGAUUAGCUAGUAGGUGGGGUAACGGCUCACCUAGGCGACGAUCCCUAGCUGGUCUGAGAGGAUGACCAGCCACACUGGAACUGAGACACGGUCCAGACUCCUACGGGAGGCAGCAGUGGGGAAUAUUGCACAAUGGGCGCAAGCCUGAUGCAGCCAUGCCGCGUGUAUGAAGAAGGCCUUCGGGUUGUAAAGUACUUUCAGCGGGGAGGAAGGGGAYGAGGUUAAUAACCUCGUUCAUUGACGUUACCCGCAGAAGAAGCACCGGCUAACUCCGUGCCAGCAGCCGCGGUAAUACGGAGGGUGCAAGCGUUAAUCGGAAUUACUGGGCGUAAAGCGCACGCAGGCGGUCUGUUAAGUCAGAUGUG